rnacentral:lncRNA from 1 species
GGUAGGCUGUGGGGAAGCUGAUGGGUACCCUGGCGCUGCUCUCUGACGCUCUGGGGCUUGGUCUGCAAGGGGCAGAGCGAGGCUCAGGCCAAGGUGACAAAGCUGACCUUGCAGCAUGAUGAAUUGUUUCUAGGUAGUAUUGAAAUGUAGUGUUGGAAUGGAUGAAAGCGGUCAUAAUACCAUUAUUCUGCAUUUGUCAAUAUACUGGCCAGUAUGGCAGUCAGAAGUGCUUGUGUAGACUUCAAUUCCAACUUCCAAUAUAAGGUAUCAAGAUGCACGUUACAGAGCAUCGAGCCAAAUAAGCUAGCUGCAGUAUGCAUGUAUGUCAGGAAGAAUGAUAUCUUGCCGAAUAAUUUUGUUCUGGGAAGUGUCGAAUACUCUCAUCAGUAGGUGAGUAAGAUAAGCAGGCUAGGCGUGGAAGCAUGUCAUGGAACACAUCGACAGAGGAUGGUUUCUUACCGUAGUACAUUUCGAUUGCUCGAUCGAAAUCACCAUUUGUGGCUUCCAAGAAAAACGCAGCUUGUUCUUGAGGGGCAUUCGUGAGGGAAACGAAUCGCCCGACAUCCGAACUGCUUGCACUGUCGAGUCUGUCUGCAGAAGACCCCUCCAUGGUGAACAAUAAAGCAAUAGGUGGCAAGGAACAGCAUUCCUU